rnacentral:rRNA from 1 species
AACAGGAUUAGAUACCCUGGUAGUCCACGCCGUAAACGAUGAGUGCUAGGUGUUAGGGGGGUCCAACCCCUUAGUGCUGAAGUCAACACAUUAAGCACUCCGCCUGGGGAGUACGACCGCAAGGUUGAAACUCAAAGGAAUUGACGGGGGCCCGCACAAGCAGUGGAGCAUGUGGUUUAAUUCGAAGCAACGCGAAGAACCUUACCAGGUCUUGACAUCCUCUGACAACCCUAGAGAUAGGGCUUUCCCCUUCGGGGGACAGAGUGACAGGUGGUGCAUGGUUGUCGUCAGCUCGUGUCGUGAGAUGUUGGGUUAAGUCCCGCAACGAGCGCAACCCUUGAUCUUAGUUGCCAGCAUUCAGUUGGGCACUCUAAGGUGACUGCCGGUGACAAACCGGAGGAAGGUGGGGAUGACGUCAAAUCAUCAUGCCCCUUAUGACCUGGGCUACACACGCGCUACAAUGGGUGGUACAAAGGGCUGCGAGACCGCGAGGUUAAGCGAAUCCCAUAAAGCCACUCCCAGUUCGGAUUGCAGGCUGCAACUCGCCUGCAUGAAGCCGGAAUUGCUAGUAAUCGCGGAUCAGCAUGCCGCGGUGAAUCCGUUCCCGGGCCUUGUACACACCGCCCGUCACACCACGAGAGUUUGUAACACCCGAAGUCGGUGAGGUAACCUUUUGGAGCCAGCCGCCGAAGGUGGGACAAAUAAUUGGGGUGAAGUCGUAACAAGGUAACC